rnacentral:rRNA from 1 species
AUGGUCAGGGAAACCGCAGAUGAAGUAGCGGGUGCCGGUGGCGAUGAGGGUGACAACAUCAUUCCCGGAGUUGAGGGUGGUGACGGGGCUAGCAGUGGUGCAGGAGUCGUAGUCUGCCUUGCUGACUUCAAGGACAUCGUGUGCCUGAGGGGAGUUCUUGAAGACGAUCUGAUCGCUGGUUUGGAACUUCCUAGAGGACGCCCAAGUGCCGUAGUUGGUGCUGAGGUCCCAUGCGCCGCCCGGCUCGCCCACGUUGUAGAUUGCCGCAGACGCCGUGCUCAGGAUGGCCAUGGCAGCCAUGGCGAGAAGAAUGGUUCUCCUCGCAGCCAUUGCGGUUGGAAAUGGAAGAAGAGCUUGCAGAGGAGAUUAUAA